CCCCUCUCAAGGUCACACCUGAAGAGUUUCCAGUACUCUACCAGUUAUGACUACAGGAGGGAGAGUCUAACAGAGCCAUACCCAUUCCAUUCCUAGCUUAGUCAGUGGCUAGUGAGUGGAAGGCCAUCUGCUACAAAU